UACGUAGGGGGGCAAGCGUUGUCCGGAAUUAUUGGGCGUAAAGAGCGUGUAGGCGGUCCGGUAAGUCGGCUGUGAAAGUCCAGGGCUCAACCCUGGACCUGCAUUCGAUACGGGCAGACUAGAGUUCGGUAGGGGAGACUGGAAUUCCUGGUGUAGCGGUGAAAUGCGCAGAUAUCAGGAGGAACACCAAUGGCGAAGGCAGCUCGCUGGAACGGUACUGACGCUGAGGCGCGAAAGCGUGGGGAGCAAACAGG
rnacentral:rRNA from 1 species